AUUGAACGCUGGCGGCGUGCCUAACACAUGCAAGUCGAGCGGUAACAGGUGUAGCAAUACAUGCUGACGAGCGGCGGACGGGUGAGUAACGCUUGGGAAUCUGCCUAUUAGUGGGGGACAACCCGGGGAAACUCGGGCUAAUACCGCAUACGCUCUACGGAGGAAAGCCGGGGACCGCAAGGCCUGGCGCUAAUAGAUGAGCCCAAGUCGGAUUAGCUAGUUGGUAGGGGUAAUGGCCUACCAAGGCGACGAUCCGUAACUGGUCUGAGAGGACGACCAGUCACACCGGAACUGAGACACGGUCCGGACUCCUACGGGAGGCAGCAGUGGGGAAUAUUGGACAAUGGGCGAAAGCCUGAUCCAGCGACGCCGCGUGGGUGAAGAAGGCCUGCGGGUUGUAAAGCCCUUUCAGUGGGGAAGAAAAGCCUCGACCUAACACGUCGGGGUCUUGACGUAACCCAUAGAAGAAGCACCGGCUAACUCUGUGCCAGCAGCAGCCG
rnacentral:rRNA from 1 species